rnacentral:rRNA from 1 species
GAUGAACGCUGGCGGCGUGCUUAACACAUGCAAGUCGAACGGAAAGGCUCCUGCUUGCAGGGGUACUCGAGUGGCGAACGGGUGAGUAACACGUGGGUGAUCUGCCCUGCACUUCGGGAUAAGCCUGGGAAACUGGGUCUAAUACCGGAUAGGACGAUGGUUUGGAUGCCAUUGUGGAAAGUUGUUCGGUGUGGGAUGAGCUCGCGGCCUAUCAGCUUGUUGGGGGGGUAAUGGCCUACCAAGGCGUCGACGGGUAGCCGGCCUGAGAGGGUGUACGGCCACAUUGGGACUGAGAUACGGCCCAGACUCCUACGGGAGGCAGCAGUGGGGAAUAUUGCACAAUGGGCGCAAGCCUGAUGCAGCGACGCCGCGUGGGGGAUGACGGCCUUCGGGUUGUAAACUCCUUUCGCUAGGGACGAAGCGCAAGUGACGGUACCUGGAGAAGAAGCACCGGCUAACUACGUG